GUUGUCGGCCCCCCAAAUCAGAAACUCUGGCAACACCAGGUUCACGUCCACGUGGCCGCGGCUGGAUGGGUCUGGGCGGCGUGUGCCGGUUUCACAGCUUGCUGCAGGCCCCCCGCUCUGAUGACUGUUCGCCCGGCCGCGGGAGCAUCCGAGUUCGUAGGACGGAUGGGGGCCUGGUGAUCAUAGUAAGAGCCGUGAUUUCUGAGGGUCUGUCUGAAGCAAGGUCCGGGUUGAGGCGGGGGAACCGCGUAAAUCCCCCUUUCCUGACCUCCGAAGCCACAGAUGUACUGGGGCCCCUGGUGGCGGGGUGGUCUGGGCUGCAAAGUGCAGUGUCUGGGUUUCCCUCCGCCUGACGCAGGCCCACGGGGGUCACGGAUCUGGCUGAUGUGUCUGGGGGUGACAUUGGCCACACGCUUCCCCUCCGGGAAGCUGACGCCAGCAGCGCUCUGCACCUGUGCUGUCCGGGAGAGCGAGUCCCCUCUGCUUGUAAACCCCGGGCUUCCUCCUGCUCCCUGACGCCCAGAAGUCCCCCUGCCGGGAGCGGAGCAGCGCCCCAGGCGGCCACCUCGCUCCGCGGGCUCCCGCCAGGAGCAGGAGGAGGGAGGGGGCACGUGUGGGACUGGCUGCUGGACGGAAUGAGUAACGAGAUGCUCUGGGAGGGGCACUGUUGCUCUGGGCAGGACCCACCACUGCUUCAAAUUAUCGAAUGACCAGGAGUCCCCACCCCUAAUGCCCAGUCCCCAGCCCCCCGACUCCCCUGCAUGCUCUGCACACGGGGGGUGAGCCAGCUGCAGACAGCCACGUGAUCCCUGUGGCCUUUCGGUGCACCUGACACUUAGGUCCCUGCGGUAAGUCAGCAGGGGGCCCUUCGGACGCAGGAGUGGUCCUCGGAGCGGUUAGAAUGAAGCAGUGGCCCGGCCGCUGGUGGCUGGGAAGCUUCCGACUCUGUCACCCUGGACGUUCACGUUGCUGCAGGAUGCCGCACUCAGAUGCCUGGUGCUGGGGCACACUGGUGGCUCUUUGAAUGUGGUGGAGCCAUUCCGUGACAAGGGGACAGGAGGAAUGGCCCCAAGCCGGCCUGCCCUCUCAUUAAGGGCUCCUUGUUGUCAUUCACCAGCAUGAGGGUGUGUCCUUUCAGAUCCCCCCAGACAGAGAGCUGACGGGUAAGGGGCUUUCUUGGGAAAGAUACGCGUGUACAUUACCCUGAAAUGGAGCGAAAGGGCAUUUUGCACAGUCAGCAAUUCCGCAGCGCGAUCCACCGAGCCUCCUGGUGCCGCUUUGGUUUGCAUGUGCUUGUGGAUUCCCUGUUCUGCUCAGCACAGUCAGAGCUGGGUUCUCUGUCGUUUACAACCCGGAGAGUCGCUGCAGAUUUAAGAAUCACGCCUGUCAUUACGGUCAUCAGCGGACUGUUGUCACCAGGACGCAGAGUACAGGUGGACGGACAGAAUGCCUCCGAGGACAUUCACACACGCCUUUGGAAAAUAACUGAUAGACGAGCAGUAGUUUCCCUGUGCCACUCUGGAAAAAAAUCCAUUAGACUCUUCCCAGACCUAAUUCGGUCUAAGAUCAACUCCUCUGAGGCUGCCACCGGUCAGAGUAAAUACCGUAUUUUCAGAAGACUUUUUAUGCCAUCCUAAGAGUCUCACAGUUACAGAAUUCCCUCCCUGGUUGACGCUCCCUGGGGACACACAGAGAGGCACGUGAAUCUCGUCGAUGACUUGUCUCCAAGCUACAUUUUCAGGAAGGUUUGCUUCGGGGGAGCAUUCCUGCCGACGGCUCCUCCGUCCGUGGCGUGUGGCUUUGUGUUACAACCUCGUGGACGUUUUGUUGUCGUCGCUGUUUUCCUUUGAGGGGGAGACAAUCAGGUUUAUUUAUUUUAUUUUAUUUUGAGGGGAGGUCCCGGGGAUGGAACCCAGGACCUCGGGCACGCUAGGCACACGCUCUCCCGCUGGGCUGUGCCCUGCCCCCCACUUCUCGUUACGCCCUCAUGGCUCGGCUUACAUCAUCUCUAGGAGACUCGGGAACUCGCCUUUCUGGGUGCAGUCAACAGUCUUUGGUUGCCAGUGACAGAAACUGAUUUAGACGAAUUUCAAGAGGAACGGCCUUGAUUAGAAGAGGCUGUGUUCCGAGUGUGCAGCAACCAGCCCGGACACUGGCCAGCCAGACGGGACCUGGCCGCACACACCUGGGCCAGCCCGGGGCCGCCCGCGAGCGCCCGCCCCAUGGCAGGUCCAAGCCUUUCCGCUCUUGCAGAACUUUCCCCUCGUCCUGGACGUUGCAGAGGUAAAAACAGACACACUGGUUUCUUGUUUGCAUCUCUUCCUUCUCUCUGUGGAUUCGUCUCUGGGUGGUUUGGAGCCAGGGUGUCUAACUGGGGGAGGGACUGUGACCUUGUCAUUUCCACUCAGCAUCUUCAGUGGGGUCGUGUUUUACCCGGGGGUCUCAGGGUUCCCACCGGAAAACUGGGGCAAUGGGCCUUUAAAUCCACCUGAGCUCAACCUAGUUUCUUAAGGUUUUGUUCGCCCCCAUCUCUCGACAAGUGACAAAGUCAUUAAGUGUAAAAAAACCCGCCGCACUCCCUGAAUGAGACAGCCACUCCGCCUGCGGCUGUUUCCUCAGACUGAACAGCAAGAUUGCUGUCGCUUUCAGGGAUGCCAGCUGAGAGCCCACAUCCUGCUGCCUGGUUAGCAUCCUGCUGUCAGGGCUGGCUUUGUCUGGAGAAGCCGUCCCUUCCAAAACAAAGAGACAAAACCAAAAACACCCCCCCACCCAAAACAGUGCCAAAACAGGGUGCCUUGUCUUCUUGAAAAACAGUUUAAUUGCCUCAGCGUUUAGAGGCAAAAUCACUGGUGUGUUCCCUAAUGAAAUGUUUCACGCUAUUUGGAGCCUUUGAGGGGAGAAAAGAAAAGUGCUCGCCCCCAUCGAUAAAUCACGCUAAAUCAUCCCUGUUCUUUUCGAAGGAGUCCUUUUUCACCCUCCGUGUGUAGUAUUAUCUGCGUGAAACAGGCUGGCAGAGGCAGCAGUGACAGGACACUCUGAGCACAUUUAAUGAAGUAGCUCCGAACAUUGUAUCAAAAUAAACGAAGUGAAUGAAGGCAAGAGCUCAUUCCUGGGUCCCUCUCUCUCUUUUCUUGCAACAAUAACCGCUGUGCGAACCACACACCAGGGGCGAUUCAGAUGCACGGCGGAGUUCGAAGGCGCCUCUGUGAUGUAUUGCAUACCAGGACACAACAGGCAGCUUCAGUCGUUAUGUUUAAUUCCAGUAAUUCUUUGCAGCCGGAAACUGGGAAGAAAUAGGGUGGAGAGGAGAGCGAGAAUUGCAGCCUUUUCAAGCCCAGGUUUUUGCUUCUGGUUUCGUCGGAUGGCAGCAGACAGGUUCCUGGGGUUUCGCUCCUCCGGAUCUGCUGGUGGGACUCCCUGUGUCGUCCGGGGGAACACUGCUCAGAAGUUCGCGGCUCCCGUGGGGGCGGACCUUGGUCGUUUUUUUGACUGUCCAGUGCCAGUGACCCCUUUAGGGCAGCCCUCACGGAAGAGUGAGAUUCUGCCUCUGGCAGCUGGGGGUCAGCACGUGGCCUGGUCUUGGUCAACCGGAUUCUUUCUCCAAGAAUUCUUGAUUCUUGAGUAAGAGGUGCACGGCGGCGGAGGCUGUCGAAAGUCAUAGUGAUGGUGGGGACGUCAAUGGCUUCUGUACCUUUUUACCUUUUAAUAGCUCGGGAUGCAG